rnacentral:rRNA from 1 species
UGGGGAAUAUUGCACAAUGGAGGGAACUCUGAUGCAGCGACGCCGCGUGAGUGAUGAAGGACUUCGUUUCGUAAAACUCUGUUCUAUGGGAAGAAAAGGACUGUACCAUAGGAGAAAGCUCCGGCUAACUCCGUGCCAGCAGCCGCGGUAAUACGGAGGAUGCGAGCGUUAUCCGGAAUUAUUGGGUUUAAAGGGUGCGUAGGUUGCAAGGGAAGUCAGGGGUGAAAAGCUAUAGCUCAACUAUGGUCUUGCCUUUGAAACUCUCUAGCUAGAGUGUACUGGAGGUACGUGGAACGUGUGGUGUAGCGGUGAAAUGCAUAGAUAUCACACAGAACUCCGAUUGCGCAGGCAGCGUACUACAUUACAACUGACACUGAAGCACGAAAGCGUGGGUAUCAAACAGG